CGGGACGUAGUUCAGAUGGCUAGAACGCACGCAUGGGGUGCGUGAGGUCGCAAGUUCGAGUCUUGUCGUCCCGA
rnacentral:tRNA from 1 species